ensembl:lncRNA
CAGCCAGGUACACACAACAAACUCGAACACGAUUUUCUCCAUGUCUUUCUGAUAAAUGGUCCUUUUUUCUUUGGUGUUCUUUUUUAAUCAGCCACACAGCCUUACUGGACUAUGCCCUGUUCUGUGGACUGAGGGGUUUGCACUGUGGGGAGACAUUUUUCCACAAGCAGGUGCGAUCGAACAGGUGCAGGCGCCAUGAUCGCAAUUAUUGUUAUCGGCAUCGUCCUCAUCCUCAGCAUACUACUCAUCAUACUGAAGACAUAUAACAAGAAGAUGCACACAAGGAGGAUACUCAAUGGGACUUCCACCAAACCACGUAAAAACACGACCUCAACAACAAUGACGACACUGCAGAUGGAGAACAUGCGAGGCAGUGCCAACAUGCGAGGCAGCGCCAACAUGGGAGGCUUAGUACACUUGCCCAACAUCUCGGAGAACGGGUUCCAUUUACCACGAGCCGAGGUGGCUAACACGGCUGAACGAAUCAGCAUGAACAGUGGCUCCACUGUGGUCACGAUACAUAACACGCCAUCGAUCGAAAAUACGUAAAAAAACAAACAAAAAAAACAACAACCAAUAUGUGACUUCAAUGGGCUCCAUUGUGCUGUGUGAUGAGAAAACACACCCCCACAACGAACAAACUGAUCAGAGGAUGAUGACCAGGACAUGGAAAAACAAAAGACAGACCAAACAUUGAAUUACUGGCAUGUUGAGACAAACAUGAGCACCUCUGAAGGCCGAAUGUAGUCAAUGGACCACUGGGUCAGACUGUGGUCAAAUGGACCACAGGGACUCUCAGAGCUAAGCGUGGGCAAAUGGACCACUGGGGACAUUUAGGGUUCAUUAUAGUACUGAGAAAACCAUUCCACCAGGACCAGUGGCCAUUUCACCUAAUAACCCUACUUUGUGGUCUCUGGAAAAUGAAACUAUCCAGUUUUAUAAUAGGGACCUCACAUGUCAUGACUGAACAAGUAAUACAGUGUGUGGUAUCACAUAUAAACAGUUUCCUGUGAGUCCAAGUGCAAAGACAGUAAUAAAAAGAGUGAAGGUUGUAACGUGUAACUAUUGCACUAACAAUAACUGAUGUUUCCCUUUACUUAAAACUAAGAUCAACAGAAAACCCUUUUAGUCUAAGGGCAGUUGUUAAAUGGUCAGUAGAUGUUUAAUAUGCCACCACAGCAUUGCUGAAUUCUCGAACCAGAAGAAGCUGUAACAAACAAAAGGUGUAUAUUAACACAUCUGUGUACAUCAUUCUAAUAGGUUGUCGUUUCUAUAGCAACAGCUCAUUCACACAUUAAAAAUGUGUUGUUAUUUAAAUGUAGACUCAUUGAUCAUGUGAUGUUUUCUUGAGGAGACAUUUAUUUGAACAUGUUUGGAAGGAGUCUCCAGUGUCAGCACUUUGUAACAGUUUUCUGCCAUGUGAAAGUCUUCAGGAUGGAGGACUUUGCACAUUGAGAUUUCUUGUCUUAUUAACUUGAAGAGAAAUUGGGGGAAUAACUGUUUAGUAUUGUAAUGUAAGUGAUUAGUGCAUAUUAGCUGUGUUCGACUAGAACUCGUACACUGUAAUUCCCAACCUCCAGCCAAGAAAAGCUACUUGAAAACGCUACUGAAAAUAAUACACUCCACACGAAACUUCCCUCUUAUUCAUGUCGGGUCGUAUCGUAUCACACCCAGCUCAUGUUGAUUGUUUUCCUAUAAUAGCAUGGACGGUCAUGUUCUGUUCCUUACAUUUAACACAAUUUCAAAACCACAACACGAUAAAGGUCUUAUUAACAGACAAAAGUGGAAGUCUUAACAAAGCUGCUCUUAUGGAGUUUUGUCCAAAUUUCAAACACUAGAGUGAUACAGUUAAAAAUAUAUAUAUAUAAAUAAAUGAAUGAAAUGUUACUUACAUUUUCCCUGAGGUUUAUUAAUAUCUGUCCACAAUCCUGAGGAAACAGAAGAACUGUUCAUCAAAUUUAUACAUUUGACUGAAGAAUUCAUUAAAGCUCUCUACAUGUUAAAUGCAUACGUUUACUAUCACCCAUCUGACGCCCAACAGCCUCCCUAUGUUUUGUGUUUCACAUAAGAAUCUCUUGCUCUUUUCUCAGUAAAGAGAAACGUCAAAAUUGUCUAUGGUGCACAUUAUGGAUGUAGUAGAUAGGAUGUAGUGAGAGGAGAAAAAAAACAAACUCCGGAGCAUUUUAAGGCAGUAACUUGAUGUACAAGUUGGUGUUUACUUUAGAAUUUUGCACAUUCACAUGAUAUUGAGUAAAUGAAGCUUUUUAUGUUGUUGGGAC